rnacentral:misc_RNA from 1 species
CGCACCUUGCACCCUUUGGUAUUCCGAAGGGUACGCCCGUUUGAGCGUCAUUGUAAUCUCACUUCAACAACUUUUUGUUGUUUGAAUGUGGACUUGGAUGUUGCCGUGUUAUAACGGCUCGUCUCAAAUGUCUGAGUGUACCCUGUUUUGCAGCGUAUCCAGUGUAAUAAACAUUUCACUAGAGUUGGUCGAAAGACCGCGUUUUGCGAUUUGGGCUCUAUGCUUCAAACCGUCCUUUUUGGACAAACUACUUGACAAUUUGGCCUCAAAUCGGGUGGGACUACCCGCUGAACUUAA